AACCUUAUGGACCUGCGGGCGUAUACCUGCGGAAGGAUCAUUACAACAAGGUUCCCUGGCCCUCGAAGCUUCGGCGGAGGGGCGCUACAGCCUGACUUUAUACCCACCCUUUGCCUAUGUGUACCCCUAUUGCUUCCCUCGGCGGGCUCGCCCGCCGACAGGAACCAACUAAACCCUUUGCAUUAUACAUUUAACACUUCCGAUGCAAAACCAAAUUAUUACAACUUUUAACAACGGAUC
rnacentral:misc_RNA from 1 species